GGUUACUGCUAUCGGGGUCCGACUAAGCCAUGCGAGUUGAGAGGGGUAAGCCCUCGGCAUACUGCUCAGUAACACGCGGAUAACCUGCCCUUGGGUCCGGGAUAACCCCGGGAAACUGGGACUAAUACCGGAUAGAUCAGAGAAACUGGAAUGUUCUCUGGUUCAAAACUCCGGUGCCCAAGGAUGGGUCUGCGGCCUAUCAGGUAGUAGUGGGUGUAACGUACCUACUAGCCAGCGACGGGUAAGGGUUGUGAGAGCAAGAUCCCUGAGAUGGAUUCUGAGACAUGAAUCCAGGCCCUACGGGGUGCAGCAGGCGCGAAAACUUUACACUGCGGGAAACCGCGAUAAGGGGACCCCGAGUGCCAGCACCUAGUGCUGGCUGUCCUACUGUCUAAAUAACAGUGGUUAGCAAGGGCCGGGCAAGACCGGUGCCAGCCGCCGCGGUAACACCGGCGGCCCGAGUGGUAACCGUUUUUAUUGGGUUUAAAGGGUCCGUAGCCGGCUUACUAAGUCUCUUGGGAAAUCUGGCGGCUCAAUCGUCAGGCGGCCAAGAGAUACUGGUAGGCUUGGGACCGGGAGAGGUGGGAGGUACUCCAGGGGUAGGGGUGAAAUCUCGUAAUCCUUGGGGGACCACCGAUGGCGAAGGCAUCCCACCAGAACGGGUCCGACGGUGAGGGACGAAAGCUGGGGGCACGAACCGGGUUAGAUACCCGGGUAGUCCCAGCUGUAAACGAUGCUCGCUAGGUGUCAGGUGCGGUGCGACCGCGUCUGGUGCCGCAGUGAAAACUUGAAGCGAGUCACCUGGGAAGUACGGUCGCAAGGCUGAAACUUAAAGGAAUUGGCGGGGGAGCACUACAACGGGUGGAGCCUGCGGUUC
rnacentral:rRNA from 1 species